AGCGUCUUAGGUCAAGAUACAAAGGGCGUAUGGUGGAUGCCUAGGCGCCAGGAGGCGAAGAAGGACGCGGCAAGCGGCGAAACGCCACGGGGAGCUGCAAGCGAGCGUAGAUCCGUGGAUAUCCGAAUGGGGUAACCCGGCAGAGGCAAACCUCUGUCAUCCCUACCUGAAGAAAUAGGGUAGGAGAGGCGAGACCCGGUGAACUGAAACAUCUUAGUAACCGGAGGAAAAGAAAUCAAGAGAGAUUCUCCAAGUAGCGGCGAGCGAACGGGGAGGAGCCCAAACCCAUUAUGUGUAGAAGGCUGCAACCGUUGCAUAAUGGGGGUUGAGGGGCGUUCCGUGGUUAACUUGCAGGUUAACCGGAGAGACCCGACUGUUUAGGCGAACACAGCUGGGAAGCUGGGCCACAGGGAGUGAAAGCCUCGUAGCCGGAAAGCAGGAGGAGCUCUAGGGGCGUACCCGAGUACCGCUGGACACGUGGAAUCUGGUGGGAAGCAGGGAGGACCACCUUCCAAGGCUAAACACUACCUGGCGACCGAUAGAGGAGAGUACCGUGAGGGAAAGGUGAAAAGCACCCCGGGAGGGGAGUGAAAUAGUACCUGAAACCGUAUGCCUACAAGCAGUGGGAGCCCUAUUGGGAAGUGAGAAGUGGGAAGUUAGAAGUGAGAAUUAAGGUAGAAACCGGCGAAGCCGGUUUCUGCAAAAGAACUAACCUCUCACCUCUCACUUCCCAAGGGUGACUGCGUACCUUUUGUAGAAUGGGCCAGCGAGUUACGGCAGCAAGCGAGGUUAAAUCUGGGAAGGAUGGAGCCGAAGCGAAAGCGAGUCUGAAGAGGGCGUUAAGUUUGUUGCUGUAGACCCGAAACUGAGUGAUCUAUCCAUGGCCAGGGUGAAGCGGUGGUAACGCAUCGUGGAGGCCCGAACCAGAGUACGUUGAAAAGUGCGUGGAUGAGCUGUGGAUAGGGGUGAAAUGCCAAUCGAACUCAGAGAUAGCUGGUUCUCCCCGAAAUAGCUUUAGGGCUAGCGUUAUGUGGUACCUUAUGGGGGUAGAGCACUGGUUAGGCUAGGGGCCUCACAGGGUUACCGAACCUUGCCAAACUGCGAAUACCAUAAGGCAAAGCAUAGCAGUCAGACUAUGGGUGAUAAGGUUCAUAGUCGAGAGGGAAACAGCCCAGACCGUCAGCUAAGGUCCCGAAAUCUAUGCUAAGUGGGAAAGGAGGUAGAGCUGCCGAGACAUCCAGGAUGUUGGCUUAGAAGCAGCCACCAUUCAAAGAGUGCGUAACAGCUCACUGGUCGAGUGGCUCUGCGCCGAAAAUUCAACGGGGCUAAGCAUAGUACCGAAGCUACGGAUAAUAGUCGUCCGUCGUCAGGCGUCAGACGUCAGGAGGGGAAACAAUGGCGAUAGGGUAUAAAAACUUAGAUGUAUAUAAAAGAGCCUAUCAGCAAGUCAAAGAAAUACAUCGGAUAAGCCAGGAAUUUCCUAAACUAGAGAAGUAUGAAAUAGGCAGUCAGUUAAGAAGAGCCGCGCUAUCAGUAGUGCUUAACAUAGCUGAAGGUUAUGGAAGAAGAGAUAGUGCAAAAGAAUUUCAACACUUUCUAAGAACUGCCAUGGGAUCAUGCAACGAAGUCAGAGUAUUAAUAGAGCUAAGUAAAGAUCUUGGAUAUAUAGGAAAAGAGAAAUUUCAAGAACUUGAAGAAGCCUAUGAGAUAAUUGGCAGACAACUGUACAGAUUACGAGAAGCAAAUAAAAAGAGCUAAGAACCGAUACUGACGACCGAUGUCCGACGACUGACGACUAAUAUGGUAGGGGAGCGUUCUUAUUGGGGGGAAGCCGUACCGAAAGGAGCGGUGGACUGAUAAGAAGUGAGAAUGCUGGCAUAAGUAAGCGAGAAGGCAGGUGAGAAUCCUGUCCGCCGGAAGCCUGAGGAUUCCUGGGGAAGGCUCGUCCGCCCAGGGUAAGCCGGGACCUAAGCCGAGGCCGGAAGGCGUAGGUGAUGGACAACUGGUUGAGAAUCCAGUGCCACCGGGAGCUGAUUGAGCGAAGGGGUGACGCAGGAGGAUAAGUGAAGCGCACGAUUGGUCGAGUGCGUCCAAGCACUGAGGGAGUGAGGCAGGCAAACCCGUCUCACGGAGAUCCUGAGGUGUGAAGGGGAGGGAAAUGAAGUACCGAAGUCACUGAAUUCAGACUGCCAAGAAAAGCCUCUAGUGAGGCGACCGGUGCCCGUACCGCAAACCGACACAGGUAGGCGAGGAGAGAAUCCUAAGGCGCGCGAGAGAACCCUCGUUAAGGAACUCGGCAAAAUGGCCCCGUAACUUAGGGAGAAGGGGUGCUCUGAUAUUGUGACUAUAGACAUAUAGGAGCGAGAGAGAGCCGCAGUGAACAGGCCCAGGCGACUGUUUAGCAAAAACACAGGUCUCUGCGAAAUCGAAAGAUGAAGUAUAGAGGCUGACGCCUGCCCGGUGCCGGAAGGUUAAGGGGAGAUGUUACCCGGCACUCAAU
rnacentral:rRNA from 1 species